rnacentral:rRNA from 1 species
AUGGCACACCACACGACAUUCAUAUUCUCGGCGGCAGCGGCGCUGCUCCUGAUCCUGCCGCCGCUGUCUGCCGGAGCAGCAGCUGCACCGGCGCCGGUGAUAGGGAUGCCGGGCUGCGAGACCAGGUGCGGAGACAUGAUCGUGCCGUAUCCGUUCGGCAUGGGCUCGUCUUACUGCUACCUGCCGGGCUUCAACCUCACUUGCGACUGGUUAAGUGACCCACCGCGGCUCCUCCUCGGCGACGGCACGCUCCAGGUCGCCGAAGACAUCGGUUACCCGAGCGAUGCCACGCUAGCCGUCGUCUACGCCGGCAACAUCCAGACCGACGGCAACGGACAUGGCAGGCUCGGCGGUGGCCUCGGCGAUGGUGGGCCCUACGCUCUGCCGCCGGCCGGGAACCAGCUCGUCCUCGUGGGCUGCAACGUGCGGGCCACGUUGAGGAGCGGCAAUCUUACCCUGAGCAGCUGCUCCUCCUUCUGCCACGACGGGCGCACGUCCUACAUGAAGUCUGGUAAGAGCAGCCUGCUCUGCUCCGGCAUGGGCUGCUGCCAGGCGCCCAUCGUCGUCAACCGCGAGGUGGGCGCCGGAGGAAAGCUCGUCCCCAUCACGUCCUACGACGUGGAGCUCGAGUCCUUUGGGCGGAACCGCAGCGACGGCCGGCGGUGGCCAGCACGCGUCUUCGUCGCCAAGAAAGGCUGGUUCACGACAUGGAGCGCCUCUAAACAACUGUCGUCGGACCUGCGAGCCGCCGUGGACAUGGAAGUUCCCUUUUGGCUCAACUGGGAGGUCGUCGAUGGCGACGCGACGGGCGACACGGAUCAGCUGCAGAGGUCGAAGGAGUGUCCUAGAGACGCGGCAGGCGGAAUCUGCAAGAGCAACCACACGCGCUGCACUAGAGGUGACAGAGGCGGCUACUUGUGCUUCUGCAAGCAAGGUUACCAGGGCAAUGCCUACAUCACCAACGGAUGCCAAGACAUCGACGAGUGCAAGCAUGCAGAAUUCCAAAUCAAUAGGUGCUAUGGUCAAUGUACCAACACGGAUGGUGCAUUUCAGUGUCGGUGUCCACAAGGAACCCAUGGUGACCCCUACAUGCCCGGUGGUUGCUUUAGUCUCCUCACAGAUAGCUGUAGCAGGUUAUGUGGCAACGUGAGUGUGCCAUACCCAUUCGGCAUUGGCUCGCACAAGUGCUAUCUGCCAGGGUUCAACCUCACCUGUGACACAAGCUACAACGCCGCACGGCUGAUGCUCGGCACUCUUCAAGUUGUUGACAUCUCCCUCCACAACAGUACCGUGCGAGUCAUCAACAACAACCGAGUGCAUGGCAUCUAUGGUGGGGUAGCCAGUGUUAAUGUUAUCGAUUUUGGGAUUAGCCAUGCAGACAGUGUGCCCUACUCGUUAUCAACUCGCAAUGAGCUUAUCGUCAUUGGUUGCGGGGUGCAGGCAGGGUUGUCCAGUGCUGGCAAUAACCGGGCCAUCCUUAGUAGUUGCUCCUCCUUCUGCUCCUCAAACAAGAGUAGAGCCUAUGAUGCAAGGUCAUCUCCCAAUAUCGAUGACAACGGUGAGUACUGCUACGGCAAUGGAUGCUGCCAGGCCCGGAUCACCAUGUCUAGGGACGGCAUGCCUAGUGAAUUCUGGAUUGAUUGGAUGGACUCCAAUAGUGUAUGGGAUGAGGCAUUGCCACAUUCAUACGCACUCAUUGCAGAGGGAGGGUGGUUCAACAAGCAUUGGGUAUACUCCCAGCUGUCACGGUCACUGUCAACAAAAUAUCUCGCUCCUAGGUUGGAGGUUCAAAUUGUUCUAGACUGGGAAAUAUUGCAGUUGCAACCUAUUAACUCACAUGCGCCACCCAAUGUGAGUUGGCAUCACCAGUAUGCCAUGUGUCCCGGCAUCUGUAGGAGCAAGAAUAGCCUAUGCAAACCAAGGAUCAGAGGUUAUUCAUGCCAUUGUAGUGACGGUUACGACGGCAACCCUUACACCGUGGAUGGAUGCAAAGGCAGCCGCCGCAAACAGUUUAAAGGUACGAGCGCCGUUGUAGGAGCUGUUGUUGCUGCAGCUGGAGUCGUACUUCUGUUUUUGCUUGGGUUGUUGAUUAUGAAGAAACUAAAAUACGAGAGGGCUAAAAUGUUAAAGCGCAAGUUCUUCCAACAAAAUCACGGACAAUUAUUGCAACAGUUUGUAUCCCAAAGUGCUGGUAUUGCAGAAAGGAUGAUCAUGACCUUGGAAGAGCUAGAGAAGGCAACACAUUGUUUUGAUAAUGAUCUCAUCGUUGGAGGUGGGGGACAUGGUAUUGUUUACAAAGGGAUUUUAUCGAACCAACAUAUUGUAGCCAUCAAGAAACCCAAAAACGUGGUGCGGAUGGAGAUCAAUGAGUUUAUCAAUGAGGUAGCUAUCCUAUCACAAAUCAACCAUAGAAAUGUUGUUAAACUAUAUGGUUGUUGCCUUGAAACUGAAGUCCCAAUGUUAGUCUAUGAGUUCAUAUCUAAUGGAACCCUUUACGAGCAUCUUCAUGUAGAAGGACCAAAAUCAUUGUCUUGGGAGAACAGGUUGCGGAUAGCCAUUGAGGCAGCAAAAUCCCUAGCAUAUCUUCACUCGGCUGCUUCAACCCCUAUAAUCCAUAGGGAUGUCAAGAGUGCUAACAUAUUGUUGGAUGAUACUCUGACGGCAAAGGUAGCAGAUUUUGGAGCUUCAAAGUGCAUUCCGAUGGAUAUAUCUGGGGUUACCACAAGGGCGCAAGGUACGAGAGGAUAUUGGGAUCCUAUGUACUUUUACACAGGCCGAUUAACUGAGAAAAGUGAUGUUUACAGCUUUGGAGUCGUCCUUGUGGAACUGCUAACCAGGAAGAAACCAUUUUCAUAUUUGUCCUCAAAUGACGAGAGCCUGGUUGCACAUUUUGUUACCUUGUUUGAAGGAGCGGCACUAUUCCAGAUCUUAGAUCCGCAAGUUAUGGAGGAAGGUGGCAAAGAGGUCGAAAAAGUUGCUAGUAUCGCGGUUGCAUGUGUAAAGUUAACUAGAGAGGAUCGUCCGACUAUGAGGCAAGUGGAGUUAACACUAGAAGGCACACGUGUGUCUAGGGAGGACACUUCAGAUAAUGCAUCUCCAUCCACAAAAGUUGAAAGCAACACUGGGGGAUCGACCAGACGACACAGCAUGGAACUUGAGUUCAGAUUAUCUGCAGAGCACCCUCGAUAG